AAUCGCUAGUAAUCGCGAAUCAGAAUGUCGCGGUGAAUACGUUCCCGGGCCUUGUACACACCGCCCGUCACACCAUGGGAGUGGGUUGCACCAGAAGUAGAUAGCUUAACCUUCGGGAGGGCGUUUACCACGGUGUGAUUCAUGACUGGGGUGAAGUCGUAACAAGGUAACCCUAGGGGAACCUGGGGUUGGAUCACCUCCUUACCUUAA
rnacentral:rRNA from 1 species